rnacentral:rRNA from 1 species
GACAGAGGUGCCGAGCGUUAGGCGGAAUCACUGGGCUUAAAGCGUGUGUAGGUGGAUGCCUAAGUACCUUGUGAAAUCCCACGGCUUAACCGUGGAACUGCUUGGUAUACUGGGUGUCUUGAGCCAGCUAGGGGCUACCGGAACAAAUGGUGGAGCGGUGAAAUGCGUAGAUAUCAUUUGGAACGCCAAUGGUGAAAACAGGCGACUGGGGAUGAGCUGACACUGAGACACGAAAGCCAGGGGAGCAAACGGG